AUGGCCUGGACAGUGCUUCUGCUCGGGCUCCUCGCUCAUGGUUCAGGUGUGGAUUCUCAGACUGUGGUGACCCAGGAGCCAUCCCUGUCAGUGUCUCCAGGAGGGACGGUCACACUCACCUGCGGCCUCAGCUCUGGGUCUGUCACUUCCAGUAACUACCCUGGUUGGUACCAGCAGACACCAGGCCAGGCUCCCCGAGCUCUUAUCUACAACACAAACAGCCGUCACUCUGGGGUCCCCAGUCGCUUCUCCGGAUCCAUCUCUGGGAACAAAGCCACCCUCACCAUCUCGGGGGCCCAGCCCGAGGACGAAGCCGACUUUUUACUGUGCUCUGAGUAG